rnacentral:rRNA from 1 species
AAAUGAAUAGACGGGGGCCCGCACAAGCGGAGGAGCAUGUGGCUUAAUUCGAUGCAACGCGAAGAACCUUACCCGGGUUUGACAUGUAUCUGCAACUCCUGCGAAAGCAGGAUUCCUUCGAGGGUGAUACACAGGUGCUGCAUGGCUGUCGUCAGUUCGUGCCGUGAGGUGUUUGGUUAAGUCCAGCAACGAACGCAACCCUUGUGCUCAAUUGCCAGCGCGUAAUGGCGGGAACUUUGAGCAGACUGCCUGUUUACACAGGAGGAAGGUGGGGAUGACGUCAAGUCAGUAUGGCCCUUACAUCCGGGGCUGCACACGUGCUACAAUGGCCGGUACAGAAGGAAGCGAAAUCGCAAGGUGGAGCAAAUCCCCAGAGCCGGCCUCAGUUCAGAUUGCGGUCUGCAAUUCGACCGCAUGAAGUUGGAUUCGCUAGUAACGGCGUAUCAGCUACGGCGCCGUGAAUACGUUCCCGGGCCUUGUACACACCGCCCGU